UACGAAGGGGGCUAGCGUUGCUCGGAUUUACUGGGCGUAAAGGGCGCGUAGGCGGACAGUUAAGUUGGGGGUGAAAGCCCGGGGCUCAACCUCGGAACUGCCUUCAAUACUGGCUGUCUUGAGUGUGAGAGAGGUGUGUGGAACUCCGAGUGUAGAGGUGAAAUUCGUAGAUAUUCGGAAGAACACCAGUGGCGAAGGCGACACACUGGCUCACUACUGACGCUGAGGCGCGAAAGCGUGGGGAGCGAUCCGG
rnacentral:rRNA from 1 species